UGCAGUCGCGUGCGCAGUAUUCCUGUAGCAAUACAGGGGAUGGGCGCACGGCGCACGGGUGCGUAACACGUGGGCAAUCUGCCCUCCGAUGGGGAAUAACCCCGCGAAAGCGGGGCUAAUACCGCAUAACAUUCCUUGGACGAUGGUUCGAGGAUUCAAAGCAGCAAUGCGUCGGAGGAGGAGCCCGCGCCCGAUUAGCUAGUUGGUGAGGUAACGGCUCACCAAGGCAAUGAUCGGUAGCUGGUCUGAGAGGAUGAUCAGCCACACUGGAACUGAGACACGGUCCAGACUCCUACGGGAGGCAGCAGUGGGGAAUCUUGCACAAUGGGCGAAAGCCUGAUGCAGCGACGCCGCGUGGGGGAUGAAGCUUUUCGGAGUGUAAACCCCUUUCGCCUGGGACGAAUGCCCGCAAGGGAGUGACGGUACCAGGAUAAGAAGCCCCGGCUAACUACGUGCCAGCAGCCGCGGUAAGACGUAGGGGGCCAGCGUUGUUCGGAAUUACUGGGUGUAAAGGGUUCGUAGGCGGUGUGGCAAGUCGGGAGUGAAAUCUCUGGGCUCAACCCAGAGGCUGCUUCCGAAACUGCUGUGCUUGAGUGUGAGAGAGGCUCGUGGAAUUGCAGGUGUAGCGGUGAAAUGCGUAGAUAUCUGCAGGAACACCCGUGGCGAAAGCGGCGAGCUGGAUCACUACUGACGCUGAGGAACGAAAGCUAGGGGAGCAAACAGGAUUAGAUACCCUGGUAGUCCUAGCCCUAAACGAUCAGGACUUGGGGUGCCGCCCGUUCGGGCGUCNUCCCGGAGCUAACGCGGUUAAGUCCUGCACCUGGGGAGUACGGUCGCAAGACUGAAACUCAAAGGAAUUGACGGGGGGCCCGCACAAGC
rnacentral:rRNA from 1 species